GGACCUACAAAUUUCUAAUAACCAUCCUGUCACAUUCUAAGGACCUGCUGAGCAUAGAUCUUUUUCUACAAAUCUUCAAAAUUGUUUUACAGAAGAAAAUAAUCGAAGAACUGCACAUGCGCCAGCGCCACAAGAUCAAGUUAGGAGAUGCGGAUGCCGCUGAAGAAAAGCUUCCGAAUUCUCACGUGAACUCGCCGAUACGCCAACAUCACGUGACAGCUAGGUGAUGCGUCAGCUGCUGGCCGAAAGCACUUUUUAAGAGUGCUGGCACUUGUCUACUUGCAUUAUAAGGACCUGACAGACCUCAGAUCUUCUAAAAAUCUUUGUGCUGAAGAAAGACAGUCAUAUACAUCUGGGAUGGCAUCAGGUGAUGGCGGAGGAAGACUUAAAAGCCGCACCAACGCAUCAGUUCGGGGGAGAGAGAGUGCGACCCAAAAGCACGAUCUCGACGUGUAUUGAGUGUAUUAAAAAGUGUGUUAUCUUAUUGAGUGUUGUGAAGAAUCUACAUGAAUUGAGUGCAUUAAAAAUACAAGAUGCUGAAGGCAGAAAAUAAAAGACUUGCCUGCACUGCUUCAUUAUCUCCUGGCUCCACCAAUGCCAAAAAAGAACUGAACCUACUACACUCGGUUAUAGGGCUGGAGAAUAAAACAAUCUCGAUAUUUAUCAGAAAAAAAUUAAUUAAAAAAAAAUCCUUGAUAUAGAUGAUAAACUUGAGUAAUUUUCUAUAUUUAGUCUGUGUUCUACAUCUAGACUAGGGGUGCUCAUUACGUUUAUCGCAAUUGUAAGACAACCACUGGUUGAUCUCGAUAAAAUCUAAAAGAUUUACUUUUUAUUUCCUGGCAUCUGUGGCAGCGCACUGUUUGACUGAUAGGUGGCUUAUGUUUGUGCCCUUUACAUGUGCAUUUGCUCCUAAACUGUCAGACACAUUUUAUAAUCCACCAAAAUGCCCGACUUGGCCGGGUAUUAAUGUAAACACAGUCUAAAUUGUGUAUGUUCAAUGUCUAAAUUGAACGUACACAGUGGGACAAAAAGCGGAUUUGUAGCAAAAUGUCAGACUUGAAUGUAACCGAAUAGACCAUUGUCUAGUGUGUCAUUAAAAGGCUAUUAAUCAAACAACGAGAAAAUGAGAAAACCACUCUCUGCUUUUGGCUGAAUUACUUUAGUAGCUUUAAAAGUAUUAAUGUAAUAUAAUAAAACAGUGACAUUUUAAUAAUAGAUUUUUAUUUAUUUUUUUUUUUUUAUAAU